GAACAAAAUACAUACUUCUUUACAUUCCAUAAAGGUUUAGGUUACAUAUGGGAUAAUAAAGAAGUAUGGAUCCUGAAC
rnacentral:pre_miRNA from 1 species